AAAUUGAAGAGUUUGAUCAUGGCUCAGAUUGAACGCUGGCGGCAGGCCUAACACAUGCAAGUCGAACGGUAACAGGAAGAAGCUUGCUUCUUUGCUGACGAGUGGCGGACGGGUGAGUAAUGUCUGGGAAACUGCCUGAUGGAGGGGGAUAACUACUGGAAACGGUAGCUAAUACCGCAUAACGUCGCAAGACCAAAGAGGGGGACCUUCGGGCCUCUUGCCAUCGGAUGUGCCCAGAUGGGAUUAGCUAGUAGGUGGGGUAACGGCUCACCAAGGCGACGAUCCCUAGCUGGUCUGAGAGGAUGACCAGCCACACUGGAACUGAGACACGGUCCAGACUCCUACGGGAGGCAGCAGUGGGGAAUAUUGCACAAUGGGCGCAAGCCUGAUGCAGCCAUGCCGCGUGUAUGAAGAAGGCCUUCGGGUUGUAAAGUACUUUCAGCGGGGAGGAAGGGAGUAAAGUUAAUACCUUUGCUCAUUGACGUUACCCGCAGAAGAAGCACCGGCUAACUCCGUGCCAGCAGCCGCGGUAAUACGGAGGGUGCAAGCGUUAAUCGGAAUUACUGGGCGUAAAGCGCACGCAGGCGGUUUGUUAAGUCAGAUGUGAAAUCCCCGGGCUCAACCUGGGAACUGCAUCUGAUACUGGCAAGCUUGAGUCUCGUAGAGGGGGGUAGAAUUCCAGGUGUAGCGGUGAAAUGCGUAGAGAUCUGGAGGAAUACCGGUGGCGAAGGCGGCCCCCUGGACGAAGACUGACGCUCAGGUGCGAAAGCGUGGGGAGCAAACAGGAUUAGAUACCCUGGUAGUCCACGCCGUAAACGAUGUCGACUUGGAGGUUGUGCCCUUGAGGCGUGGCUUCCGGAGCUAACGCGUUAAGUCGACCGCCUGGGGAGUACGGCCGCAAGGUUAAAACUCAAAUGAAUUGACGGGGGCCCGCACAAGCGGUGGAGCAUGUGGUUUAAUUCGAUGCAACGCGAAGAACCUUACCUGGUCUUGACAUCCACAGAACUUUCCAGAGAUGGAUUGGUGCCUUCGGGAACUGUGAGACAGGUGCUGCAUGGCUGUCGUCAGCUCGUGUUGUGAAAUGUUGGGUUAAGUCCCGCAACGAGCGCAACCCUUAUCCUUUGUUGCCAGCGGUCCGGCCGGGAACUCAAAGGAGACUGCCAGUGAUAAACUGGAGGAAGGUGGGGAUGACGUCAAGUCAUCAUGGCCCUUACGACCAGGGCUACACACGUGCUACAAUGGCGCAUACAAAGAGAAGCGACCUCGCGAGAGCAAGCGGACCUCAUAAAGUGCGUCGUAGUCCGGAUUGGAGUCUGCAACUCGACUCCAUGAAGUCGGAAUCGCUAGUAAUCGUGGAUCAGAAUGCCACGGUGAAUACGUUCCCGGGCCUUGUACACACCGCCCGUCACACCAUGGGAGUGGGUUGCAAAAGAAGUAGGUAGCUUAACCUUCGGGAGGGCGCUUACCACUUUGUGAUUCAUGACUGGGGUGAAGUCGUAACAAGGUAACCGUAGGGGAACCUGCGGUUGGAUCACCUCCUUACCUUAAAGAAGC
rnacentral:rRNA from 1 species